rnacentral:rRNA from 1 species
UACGUAGGUGGCAAGCGUUGUCCGGAUUUAUUGGGUUUAAAGGGUGCGUAGGCGGUUCUGUAAGUCAGUGGUGAAAUACGGCAACUCAACUGUCGAGGUGCCAUUGAUACUGCGGAACUUGAGUACUGAUGAGGUAGGCGGAAUUGACGGUGUAGCGGUGAAAUGCUUAGAUAUCGUCAAGAACACCGAUAGCGAAGGCAGCUUACCAAGCAGUAACUGACGCUGAGGCACGAAAGUGCGGGGAUCAAACAGG